AUUCCUACGGGAGGCAGCAGUGGGGAAUUUUCCGCAAUGGGCGAAAGCCUGACGGAGCAACGCCGCGUGAGGGAUGAAGGCCUCUGGGCUGUAAACCUCUUUUAUCAAGGAAGAAGAUCUGACGGUACUUGAUGAAUAAGCCACGGCUAAUUCCGUGCCAGCAGCCGCGGUAAUACGGGAGUGGCAAGCGUUAUCCGGAAUUAUUGGGCGUAAGGCGUCCGCAGGCGGCCCUUCAAGUCUGCUGUUAAAAAGUGGAGCUUAACUCCAUCAUGGCAGUGGAAACUGUUGGGCUUGAGUGUGGUAGGGGCAGAGGGAAUUCCCGGUGUAGCGGUGAAAUGCGUAGAUAUCGGGAAGAACACCAGUGGCGAAGGCGCUCUGCUGGGCCAUCACUGACGCUCAUGGACGAAAGCCAGGGGAGCGAAAGGGAUUAGAUACCCCUGUAGUCCUGGCCGUAAACGAUGAACACUAGGUGUCGGGGGAAUCGACCCCCUCGGUGUCGUAGCCAACGCGUUAAGUGUUCCGCCUGGGGAGCACGCACGCAAGUCUAAAC
rnacentral:rRNA from 1 species